CAAUAGCGUAUAUUAAAGUUGUUGCAGUUAAAAAGCUCGUAGUUGGAUUUCUGGUGGGAGCGAUCGGUCUGGCGCUUAGCGCGAGUACUUGCAUCGUCUCCGGCCAUCCUUGGGGAGAGUCUGUCUGGCAUUAGGUUGUCGGGCAGAGGAUCCUCAUCGUUUACUGUGAAAAAAUUAGAGUGUUCAAAGCAGGCUUAUGCCGUUGAAUAUAUUAGCAUGGAAUAAUAAGAUAGGACUUUGGUACUAUUUUGUUGGUUUGCGCACCAAAGUAAUGAUUAAUAGGGACAGUUGGGGGUAUUCGUAUUCCGUUGUCAGAGGUGAAAUUCUUGGAUUUACGGAAGACGAACUACUGCGAAAGCAUUCACCAAGGAUGUUUUCAUUAA
rnacentral:rRNA from 1 species